rnacentral:lncRNA from 1 species
CUAGCAGCCGUCACCCUUUUGUGCCUUGCCCCAAGAGAUGAGAGGAAGAAAAAAGAAGAGAAGAGAGGGGAGAUGAGGGCAUACCGUCGCUCAUCAUCGUCGUUCCUCUCCAAGAAUUGGUUGGAUUUCCUUUCCUCUCUCUCUUUUCUCCACUUGAUGAAUGCUUUCUCUUGUUUUGGAUGAGUUUUAGGCCCUGCAAUUAGUUUUUUUGGUUGGAUUAGAUGGGAGAUUAGAUUUUGAUCUCGAAAUUAGUUUCUGCAGGAUGGCAGAUUCAACAGUUUCUGUUCAUGCAAGUUUUCCGUGAUCUUAGUGGCCUCAAAAAAUUAAAACGUCUGUCUAUGAGUCGUAGAUAAUUUGUAUAUCUUUCUGUGGCCGCGAAGAACACCUCAAUCGGACAUCAGAUCAGAAAGUUAUUGCAGUUUGAUUAUAGCAGUUUUUCAGUCUCAUAAUUCUGUGCAGAAUCUGUUCUCUUAAGAUUUAGGCAAUUUUAUCUACAGAAUUAAACUUUAGGAUUGUAAAAGAAGUUGUAGACAAUUUUAUAAGCUUUCCAGAUUGUUAAAGAGCGCAUUCAUAUGAAUUAUGAAACUCCAGUUAUGUUUGUUUUACUGUGGCUGUUCCUGUUUGCCUGACAAAAAUGAGUGGGUCUGUUCACUGGUGGGUUUCAUAUAGUAAAUAGCCGAAUUGGCUGUUCCAACUAUGGAGACAUUUGUAGAGGGAUAAAAGUUCUUACUGCCAGCAGAAUUUCAUAAUUUUUGGUUGAGUAGUUUGGUAGAUAUUGAAUUUUGAAGUUAACUAUGCUGCUGUCUGAAACAGAUUCAGACAUUUAUCUUAUCAGAUGUUUUAGAACUUAUAGAUGGCAGAAUUUAAUUAUCCAUUGAAUGCUGAAGUUGUAGAGUAUUUUGUGUAUACACUCCUAGAGUAUUUGUUUAAUAUCACCACUGUUAUAAUUUUAAAGAUACAAAAUUAACAAACAGUGUUGUUGUUGUUUGGCAUGUGGUUCAGGGUGGGAGUCUUUCCACCGGGUCUUGGUUUCAAGUGUAGGAGCGAUUUGUUGAUUGUUGGCAAAUGUUUGUGAAAUAUUUGUACUAAGUUUUAUGCCCGCUAGCAGGUGGCUACACUCCGGAUCAUGCCUAGUACAUCUUUCUUCCUCGAUGAAGGCAAGUGAAUGUAGUAGUGGUUUCUACCGUUUUGACUUGUUGUUUUUUUAUCGCCUACACUCUAAUAUUCAGAAUUAUAGAAUUCUUUCAUAAUUGAACUCUAUGGUGAUGCUUUACUUGAUUGUAUUAUACUGAUGCUCAAUCAUAUAUUGAUGAUGAUUAUGGUUCGAGUAUGACCCAUGAGAUUAAUUUACACCCGUGAAGGCAGAUAAAGUAUUAUUUGAGGUUUGUAUCGUAUCUGAAGGCAGAUGAAGUAUUAUUUGAGGUUUGUUUUGUAUCUGAAGGAAGUGAAGUGUAUUGAUAAAUACAGCAUGCCAUAUGCAUUACAUGAUUCAUUUGCAUCUGAAGUUUGGUCGUGACCUAUGGUCCGACUGUACCGGUACAACUUAGCAUCGUACGUUGCCCGAGGAGGGGUACGAUGCGGCUUCAUACCCUUAGAGGUAUGAAGGCAGAGGACAUAUGCAUUGCAUUUAUAUGCAUUCAUUGAAGUGAUAUUAGCAGAUGAUGUGGUUUUAUACUCUCAGAGGUAUGAGGGCAGAUGACCUACACAUUGCAUUCCUAUGCAUACAUUGAAGUGAUAUCUGCAGGUAUUGUUGACGCAGGGAAGGGUUAUACAACCUAUUGUGGUUGUUCGAGGAAAUGAGAUGGUAUUGGUUAUAUUGGGACUAUUGAGUUCUAUAUCUACAAGUAUUUCUGAUCUCAAUUGUGAUUCCUUUAAAAUGUUGUUUAAUUCAAUUUGUGGUUUAAAUAUCUCGUCAAAACAAUUUGCUUGCUGAGAUGUAUCAUCUCACUCUUGCAUUACUCAAUGCAGGUACUUGAUUCAUGUUGGGAAUGAGGGAAGUAGCAGCACGUUCACCUUCACUAUUAUAAUAACGAUGCCCAGUUGCAGCCAUGAUUUAAUUAGAAACUCGAUGACAAAUGAUGUUUGUUUUUUCCUAGUCGUGUGCACUGGUUAAUUCAGUUCAUGUCGUUAUGUUUAACUUUCCUUUGCUAGCAGAUUAAUAAUGCUUAGUAUGUUUUUUUUCAUGAUAUAUGUUUAUACACUGUUGCCCCUCAUUUAUGCAAUCUUUCAAAAGAGAUGCUGCCGAAAUUUUAUAUAUGGAUGUCAGAUGUGUAGUUCAGUAGCAUUCCGGGGUGUUUGUGGACCCCGGGGUGUUACAGUUGGUAUCAAAGCAUAGGCUUUAGAUUCUUGGCAAUUUGAAGAUAAAUUUGACACACUUGCACAUAUAGGAAGGGUAUGAGUUCAAAUGUCUUUGAUAUAUAUAUUAGUGUCUUUGAAGUGCAUAUGACAAUAAUUUCACCCAUCCCUAUUCCUUUACGGUGAUGUGGUAUGUUGUUUAUGACUUAAUGCCUAAUAUGAUUUAUCUCUAAAUCUUUAUAUUGUUUUAUUAAUGCGAUUGAUAUCGCUGGUCUUUGGUAAGAUUGAAGUUGUUAUUAUGCUUGUGAUAUACAAGUAUGCCUAUGUUGAUUUCAUCAUGUUUUUCAUGGUUGAGUUUUAUUGCAAUAAUAUUGUUAUAUAUGCUUGAUUGAGGAUGUUCCUAAGAGGAGUGUGAAUUGCGUGUUUUGGGUUACAAGGUAACCAUCAAUUUGAAUUAAAGUUGUUGAGUGGUUGGUGGAUAGUUCCAACUAUCUUUGCAAAGAAUGAUUGUUUAUGUCGAGAAACCAGUUCUGAAAGAAAUGAAUAUUGGUACUUUUAUAUGAAUUUUGGGGAAGUCUUUACAUAGCUAGAAUGGCUUACAUGUCUCUCUUCUAUUGUGUGUUUUAGUAGCAUUCCGGGGUGUUUGUGGACCCCGGGGUGUUACAGUUGGAGGUGGUUUAAAGUGGUUGCAUGUUAGUCAUGCUAGUUGUAGAAUAAAUCUUUGUUUUUCUUGAUCUAUUGAUUAUGUAUUAAUAUGUUGAGGAUCAGAUGGUUCUCUCCCUGAUGCAUGCUGGUGGAUCCAUUGUUGGACCACCUAUCUAUUGGUUUGAAUGAAGUCAUUGCCUAGCCUAGAGUUGGUUGUGUGUGGUUAGUCACCUAUUCCUAAAUGAUGUGGUUUUUUACAUCAACUUGAGAUGUUUGUCAAAUGUGUGAAGGAUUACGGGGUUAUCAUUGACCUCGUAUGUCUAGUACUUUGAGUGCAUCGUAUGAUAGAAUGAAAUGUAAGUUUCUGAACUACAGUAGAUGAAGACUUAUAUUAUUUGUAGGUUAACCUUACUAGUUUGGUUAUUUUUCUUAGUUGAGUUGUUGGAUGAAGUAUAGCGACAUUGGUAAGCAAGUAUUGUGUUGUUGUUGUGCUAUCAAUGCUCUUUGUGGAGUUUUUGGCAUUUCUUCGAUGAAAUGUGCCGCGUAGAAUGUUAUGGGCUUCGUGUCUGCUUUAUUGCUCCAUUAGUUCUGUAGAGUUUCUCCCUUUUGUGGGGUGCAAAGAAUGUUAGAUUACAUGAUUAUCUUUUCAUGAUGGCAAGAACGGGGUUUAGGAAGAUUAGGAGUUUUGUUUCAAUAGAACUACUUGUUUUGUGGUGCUGUGAGGUGAGGUGUUUGAUAUUUUUAUACGUUCAUCUGGUGUGGAUGUUUUACCAUUGAAUUAAAAUAAAUUGUUGAAGUUGGUAAGGGUUGUGCUUAGUGCAUAUUACUCCUUCAUAAAAGAGUGUCGUUUUAAGACAUUGAUGCUGAUGUAUGGCUGCAUCCAAAUUCGAUGUUGUGAAAUCGUAGUGUUGAUCACAUCUAUGACUUGCUUUGAGCUUCAUUGCAGGUUGUUUCAUGCUUGUUGUCAGGCUGUGUAGCUUCCUUAGACCAUUAGUCCGAGGUAGAAGUUCUUGUGUUGAUUAAUACCAAUAAUGGACCCAUGUUUUCAAUGGUGGUGCUAUUUGGGGUACCUUGGAUGUUUUGCUUGGAGUGGUCGAAUUCGAGGACGAAUUCUUUUUAAGAGGGGUAGAAUGUAACACCCUAAAAAAAUAAACCAUUUUUAUAAUCCAAAUAUGGUGUGUCCUAUGGAUGAUCGGAGGCCGUAGAUGUAUAUAUCUCAUCAAGAUGAUUCCGAUCAAUCACUAGUUUGCCUUGUUUGAAGUCCAGAUGAGUCUUUUCGAGUGCCGGUUGAUCUGAGCCAUUGGAUAUUAAGAUUGUGGAAGUUUCCUUCUAUUUAUACCUCCCUAACCCUAUAAUCCAUGUCCUCCCACCCCUAGCAGCCGUCACCCUUUUGUGCCUUGCCCCAAGAGAUGAGAGGAAGAAAAAAGAAGAGAAGAGAGGGGAGAUGAGGGCAUACCGUCGCUCAUCAUCGUCGUUCCUCUCCAAGAAUUGGUUGGAUUUUCCUCUCUCUCUUUUCUCCACUUGAUGAAUGCUUUCUCUUGUUUUGGAUGAGUUUUAGGCCCUGCAAUUAGUUUUUUUGGUUGGAUUAGAUGGGAGAUUAGAUUUUGAUCUCGAAAUUAGUUUCUGCAGGAUGGCAGAUUCAACAGUUUCUGUUCAUGCAAGUUUUCCGUGAUCUUAGUAGCCUCAAAAAAUUAAAACGUCUGUCUAUGAGUCGUAGAUAAUUUGUAUAUCUUUCCGUGGCCGUGAAGAACACCUCAAUCGGACAUCAGAUCAGAAAGUUAUUGCAGUUUGAUUAUAGCAGUUUUUCAGUCUCAUAAUUCUGUGCAGAAUCUGUUCUCUUAAGAUUUAGGCAAUUUUAUCUACAGAAUUAAACUUUAGGAUUGUAAAAGAAGUUGUAGACAAUUUUAUAAGCUUUCCAGAUUGUUAAAGAGCGCAUUCAUAUGAAUUAUGAAACUCCAGUUAUGUUUGUUUUACUGUGGCUGUUCCUGUUUGCCUGACAAAAAUGAGUGGGUCUGUUCACUGGUGGGUUUCAUAUAGUAAAUAGCCGAAUUGGCUGUUCCAACUAUGGAGACAUUUGUAGAGGGAUAAAAGUUCUUACUGCCAGCAGAAUUUCAUAAUUUUUGGUUGAGUAGUUUGGUAGAUAUUGAAUUUUGAAGUUAACUAUGCUGCUGUCUGAAACAGAUUCAGACAUUUAUCUUAUGAGAUGUUUUAGAACUUAUAGAUGGCAGAAUUUAAUUAUCUAUUGAAUGCUGAAGUUGUAGAGUAUUUUGUGUAUACACUCCUAGAGUAUUUGUUUAAUAUCACCACUGUUAUAAUUUUAAAGAUACAAAAUUAACAAACAGUGUUGUUGUUGUUUGGCAUGUGGUUCAGGGUGGGAGUCUUUCCACCGGGUCUUGGUUUCAAGUGUAGGAGCGAUUUGUUGAUUGUUGGCAAAUGUUUGUGAAAUAUUUGUACUAAGUUUUAUGCCCGCUAGCAGGUGGCUACACUCCGGAUCAUGCCUAGUACAUCUUUCUUCCUCGAUGAAGGCAAGUGAAUGUAGUAGUGGUUUCUACCGUUUUGACUUGUUGUUUUUUUAUCGCCUACACUCUAAUAUUCAGAAUUAUAGAAUUCUUUCAUAAUUGAACUCUAUGGUGAUGCUUUACUUGAUUGUAUUAUACUGAUGCUCAAUCAUAUAUUGAUGAUGAUUAUGGUUCGAGUAUGACCCAUGAGAUUAAUUUACACCCGUGAAGGCAGAUAAAGUAUUAUUUGAGGUUUGUAUCGUAUCUGAAGGCAGAUGAAGUAUUAUUUGAGGUUUGUUUUGUAUCUGAAGGAAGUGAAGUGUAUUGAUAAAUACAGCAUGCCAUAUGCAUUACAUGAUUCAUUUGCAUCUGAAGUUUGGUCGUGACCUAUGGUCCGACUGUACCGGUACAACUUAGCAUCGUACGUUGCCCGAGGAGGGGUACGAUGCGGCUUCAUACCCUUAGAGGUAUGAAGGCAGAGGACAUAUGCAUUGCAUUUAUAUGCAUUCAUUGAAGUGAUAUUAGCAGAUGAUGUGGUUUUAUACUCUCAGAGGUAUGAGGGCAGAUGACCUACACAUUGCAUUCCUAUGCAUACAUUGAAGUGAUAUCUGCAGGUAUUGUUGACGCAGGGAAGGGUUAUACAACCUAUUGUGGUUGUUCGAGGAAAUGAGAUGGUAUUGGUUAUAUUGGGACUAUUGAGUUCUAUAUCUACAAGUAUUUCUGAUCUCAAUUGUGAUUCCUUUAAAAUGUUGUUUAAUUCAAUUUGUGGUUUAAAUAUCUCGUCAAAACAAUUUGCUUGCUGAGAUGUAUCAUCUCACUCUUGCAUUACUCAAUGCAGGUACUUGAUUCAUGUUGGGAAUGAGGGAAGUAGCAGCACGUUCACCUUCACUAUUAUAAUAACGAUGCCCAGUUGCAGCCAUGAUUUAAUUAGAAACUCGAUGACAAAUGAUGUUUGUUUUUUCCUAGUCGUGUGCACUGGUUAAUUCAGUUCAUGUCGUUAUGUUUAACUUUCCUUUGCUAGCAGAUUAAUAAUGCUUAGUAUGUUUUUUUUCAUGAUAUAUGUUUAUACACUGUUGCCCC